UACGAAGGGUGCAAGCGUUACUCGGAAUUACUGGGCGUAAAGCGUGCGUAGGUGGUUUGUUAAGUCUGAUGUGAAAGCCCUGGGCUCAACCUGGGAAUUGCAUUGGAUACUGGCAGGCUAGAGUGCGGUAGAGGAUGGCGGAAUUCCCGGUGUAGCAGUGAAAUGCGUAGAGAUCGGGAGGAACAUCGGUGGCGAAGGCGGUUCUCUGGGCAUGAUCUGACGCUGAGGAGCGAAAGUGUGGGGAGCGAACAGG
rnacentral:rRNA from 1 species